CCGAAGAGUUGCCCGGUGGCCGAGGCAGACGGAAGCCGAGGGAGAGUCUCGGCAGCAGCAGGAUGGGGGACUCCAAAGUGAAAGUGGCCGUGCGGAUCCGGCCCAUGAACCGGAGAGAAAUUGACUUGCAUACCAAAUGUGUGGUGGAUGUAGAUGCAAACAAGGUUAUUCUUAGUCCUAUAAAUACUAAUCUUUCCAAAGGAGAUGCCCGAAGCCAGCCAAAGGUGUUUGCAUAUGAUCAUUGUUUCUGGUCUAUGGAUGAAUCAGUCAGAGAAAAAUAUGCAGGUAAGGA